rnacentral:rRNA from 1 species
CCUACGGGCGGCAGCAGUGGGGGAUAUUGCACAAUGGGGGGAACCCUGAUGCAGCGACGCCGCGUGUGGGAAGACGGUCCUCUGGAUUGUAAACCACUGUCCCCAGGGACGAAAAUGACGGUACCUGGGGAGGAAGCUCCGGCUAACUACGUGCCAGCAGCCGCGGUAAUACGUAGGGAGCGAGCGUUGUCCGGAAUUACUGGGUGUAAAGGGAGCGUAGGCGGGGAUGCAAGUUGGGUGUCAAAACUACCGGCUCAACUGGUAGUCGCAGUUAAAACCGGAGCUCUUGAGUGAAGUAGAGGCAGGCGGAAUUCCUAGUGUAGCGGUGAAAUGCGUAGAUAUUAGGAGGAACACCAGUGGCGAAGGCGGCCUGCUGGGCUUUUACUGACGCUGAGGCUCGAAAGUGUGGGGAGCAAACAGGAUUAGAUACCCGUGUAGUC